CAAACCCAUAUUAGUUCAAACACACAUUGGUUAAAACCCUGUGGGUCAAACCCAUAUUAGUUCAAACACACAUUGGUUAAGACCCCACAGUUACAAACUGUUCUACUUGUGCAAAUAAACUAAACCCAGUCCAAGGUAGGGCUGUAACGUUACACGAGCUCCAAUCACAACCUGCUGAAAUCCUACAACAACACAGCUGAACAGAGGUCAACAACACAGCUGAACAGAGGUCAACAACACAGCUGAACAGAGGUCAACAACACAGCUGAACAGAGGUCAACAACACAGCUGAACAGAGGUCAACAACACAGCUGGACAGAGGUCAACAACACAGCUGAACAGAGGUCAACAACACAGCUGAACAGAGGUCAACAACACAGCUGAACAGAGGUCAACAACACAGCUGAACAGAGGUCAACAACACAGCUGAACAGAGGUCAACAACACAGCUGAACAGAGGUCAACAACACAGCUGAACAGAGGUCAACAACACAGCUGAACAGAGGUCAACAACACAGCUGAACAGAGGUCAACAACACAGCUGAACAGAGGUCAACAACACAGCUGGACAGAGGUCAACAACACAGCUGGACAGAGGUCAACAACACAGCUGGACAGAGGUCAACAACACAGCUGAACAGAGGUCAACAACACAGCUGGACAGAGGUCAACAACACAGCUGAACAGAGGUCAACAACACAGCUGAACAGAGGUCAACAACACAGCUGAACAGAGGUCAACAACACAGCUGAACAGAGGUCAACAACACAGCUGAACAGAGGUCAACAACACAGCUGAACAGAGGUCAACAACACGACUUCUGAGGGGAGGGUAAAACACUGGACGGCACCACUUUCAAGGCUCUCCUAAAUGUCAAGGCCUUCAGAGGAAACUGUUCUGUAAUCAGUCCAUCAGCACGA